AAUGAACCAAACAAGACCGGCUUUGAUACCAUUGUAGGGUUACGAUGGUACAGCGACAGCACGGAUUUCAAAAAUUUAAACUAAGAAAUCCUAAUCAUCUAAUCCUAAUCCAAGACCUCUUUGAUGAUUAACAAUCAUAUGAUACAUUUGAAUAACAUAUUAAAAGGUAUAGAAAAAUACCUGUAACAUUAAAUCUAAAAUCCAACAGAACUUCCACCGGGCAUCCAAGUGUUCGCCCUCCAAUGGUGAUCCACACAGGGCUUUGAUCAAGAUACUCUUCUUUAGAUAGGUUGCUUCCUCUGAUUUCUUCCUCCAAGAACUUUUCUGGAUAGCAGAACCUCAGGGCUUCCUUCCUUUCUUUUAGCUUUUCCUUUCUCUUGCUUUCUUUUCUCCUUGUCUUCCUUAAUCCUCUUCCCAGGC
rnacentral:lncRNA from 1 species